rnacentral:lncRNA from 1 species
GUUGAGGAUUUGAUUUUGAUGAAACUAAGUUUGGUGGGGAUAUAUUUUGUUGGUAGUGUAGAGAAAGAACUUGAAUGGAAGUAUUUUCUGAGUUUACUUGAGACUUGUUCAUCUUUACUGCUGUAGUCCCUUUCUUUCAAGAAUCUAUUAGUUAGUGAAUGUUACUGUUAAAAGGAGUUUUACUUGUAUCCCAUUUACUCAUAGCUAGACCAUGUCCUGUUAAUUCUCCUUCUCUCUCUCUCUCUCUCUCUCUCUCAAAUACAUGCCGGGAUUUUUGAAAUAUAUUGGUUGUUUUCAUACAUG